CCUACGGGGAGCUGUAGUCGAGAAUCAUUCACAAUGGGGGAAACCCUGAUGGUGCGACGCCGCGUGGGGGAAUGAAGGUCUUCGGAUUUUAAACCCCUGUCAUGUGGGAGCAAAUUAAAAAGAUAGUACCACAAGAGGAAGCGACGGCUAACUCUGUGCCAGCAGCCGCGGUAAUCCAGAGGUCUCAAGCGUUGUUCGGAAUCACUGGGCGUAAAGCGUGCGUAGGCUGUUUCGUAAGUAGUGUGUGAAAGGCGCGGGCUCAACCCGCGGACGGCACAUGAUACUGCGAGACUAGAGUAAUGGAGGGGGAACCGGAAUUCUCGGGGUAGCAGUGAAAUGCGUAGAUAUCGAGAGGAACACUCGUGGCGAAGGCGGGUUCCUGGACAUUAACUGACGCUGAGGCACGAAGGCCAGGGGAGCGAAAGGGAGUAGAUACCCUGGUAGUC
rnacentral:rRNA from 1 species